GAGCGUCUCUGCCCGGCCGCCCCGUCUGAGAAGUGAGGAGCCCCUCCGCCCAGCAGCCACCCCGUCUGGGAAGUGAGGAGCGUCUCCGCCCGGCAGCCGCCCCGUCCGGGAGGGAGGUGGGGGUCAGCCCCCCACCCGGCCAGCCGCCCCGUCCGGGAGGUGAGGGGCGCCUCUGCCCGGCCGCCCCUACUGGGAAGUGAGGAGCCCCUCUGUCCGGCCACCACCCC
rnacentral:lncRNA from 1 species